AGGUUCCACGAAAAAACGUUGUGUUAUGUCAAUUGCUGUACGAGGAAGGGAGGGAGCAGGGAUGACCUGUACAAUUUCUGGUUUGACUCAGUCAAGUUUGUUGACAUAGCAAACUGUGAAUCACGAUAUCCGUUGGAAUUUGGAAACGCCGAACGCAAACAAAACAACAACCCAAAUCCACGAAUCCAGCGUUAAAACACAGUAUCUUGUUUUCCACGUUGUCCAAGUGCUGCCACGUCGCUUAUAAACAGAAAAUUAUAUUAUUGGACUUGAAAACUUUUUACACUCAGUUUUUAAUGUUUUGUUGUUUUGUGAUUGUAUUGUUGUACUGUAAAUAUUCGAGGUUAGGCUGUCUAUUCAACAAGUCCUUGUUAACCCUCCAAAGAUGGAGAUGAGAACAAGCAAUCUGACCCCCAUCCAACAGGACCCAUUCUCCCUGUUUUUCUUUCAUGCGGAACAAGAUCCUUGUGUUACUCUCCAGUAAAGAUUAUUGGAAAAUGCUAGGCAUCGCAUAUUAAAUUGUAUACCACUUCUUUAAUAGAUGUGUGUCCUAUUGUAUUUGUUGGCAUCACUUUUAUUAGGACUCAUUUGGUACGUCAGACUGUACUGAUUAAUUUUUGUCGGAUAAUAUUAAUCUGUUUCGGAAACUACUGACUAUUUAUCCAUAAUAUUAUAAGGCGUUUGGUGUUGUUUCAGAUUAAUAGUCUGACUAAGUCAUAUUGUGUUUUGUCCUUCAUCGGAUAACAGAGGAUCAUACUUUUUAAAAAUAAAAAUAAAAAUAAAAAAAUUCUUUGAUAAUAUAAGUGGAAAUUGAAAUCUAUAUGACAAAUUUUUUUAGCAAGAUUUAAAUGACAAUAGUUUUUUUUUUUUUUGUUUUUUUCCAAGAUUUAUAAGAUAAGAUUACAUGAACUAACCCAUUAUCAUAAUUAUAGAACUUAGCAUCAUACGUUUUACAUGUUUAUUGAUGGAAAAAAAUCACAUCUUGAUAUAAAAAAACUACAUAAGACAUCUUGAUAUAAACACAUCUUUUCUGAUUGUGAAUUGACAUACGCACAUCUUUUUCGAUUGUGAACUGAUAAAUUACAUAAGACUACAAAUAGAUGAUAAAUUAUAGAAGAUCAAGUCUGAAGCUAAUGAUGGUCUGGUGCAAUGCAAUUUUACAUCAACCAUCUUGAUUGGCAAUCUCAC
rnacentral:lncRNA from 1 species